rnacentral:rRNA from 1 species
AGUGAACGCUGGCGGUAGGCCUAACACAUGCAAGUCGAACGGCAGCACAGUAAGAGCUUGCUCUUACGGGUGGCGAGUGGCGGACGGGUGAGGAAUACAUCGGAAUCUACUUUUUCGUGGGGGAUAACGUAGGGAAACUUACGCUAAUACCGCAUACGACCUACGGGUGAAAGCAGGGGAUCUUCGGACCUUGCGCGAUUGAAUGAGCCGAUGUCGGAUUAGCUAGUUGGCGGGGUAAAGGCCCACCAAGGCGACGAUCCGUAGCUGGUCUGAGAGGAUGGUCAGCCACACUGGAACUGAGAAACGGUCCAGACUCCUACGGGGGGCAGCAGUGGGGAAUAUUGGACAAUGGGCGCAAGCCUGAUCCAGCCAUACCGCGUGGGUGAAGAAGGCCUUCGGGUUGUAAAGCCCUUUUGUUGGGAAAGAAAAGCAGCAGGUUAAUACCCCGCUGUUCUGACGGUACCCAAAGAAUAAGCACCGGCUAACUUCGUG